AUUUGGGCUUCCAACUGUGCUUUUAAUUUGUUUAUUUUAUGUGAGAGCCCCAGUUCCGGAGCGUUGCUGCACCUGCAUUUUAAUGGAGACCAAGCUGCCUUUGCGCUAUUUUGUUUACGCAUCUAAAGCCGGUGUUCGGCUAGAAAUUGCUCAUUGUGUGAUUUGUAAAACUAAAAUGCCAAUGCCGUAAGCCAAGUAUUUUAUUACAUGCAACACUUUUUAUCGAAAAAGGUUUAAUAACUAAAAUGCCCAUGUUCUGUGCGGAAAAAAGAAAAGCCAUACUUGUCUUCUCAACGAGCUUUGAUUGAGAUUCAACAAUAAAACUAUUCCAUUGCAAUUGUUACUUAGAUAUGUUUUGCUCUAGCAAUCCGUGACCUGUUCUUCCUUGUCCUUUGAAAUAUCUGUGUUUUUUCCCCUCCCAGGAAUCCUCUUACAGCCUUGGACAACAGGAAUAAUAAUCCAUGUUUGAAACUAUCCCUACCACUCUUUAUUUGGUUUUCUUUCAACAGCCAACUCUCCUUAGGAGCAGACACCAUCUCCGCAAAUCAGUCUCUCUCCGGUAAUCAGACCAUUGUUUCAUCGGGUGAAAACUUCGUGUUGGGCUUCUUCACACCAGCCAAGCAGCACAAGACACACCAGCCUGGAAAGAUAUUUAUGAAGAUACAUCUGACAAGCCACCUGAUGACUUGGAAGAAAGAAUUGAAUAGCUAGAAUUAAAGUGCUAUACAGCUAGAGAGGAGAAGAAAAGAAAAUUAGAAUAAUUAAACAUCACCUCCGACAUAAGUACAGAUUAUGACACUGAUUGAAUGAGUCAUUGUCUGCUUGUAAAUUAUUGUCCUUUACUUUUAUAAAAGUUUGUAUGAGUCAUCGCCCUCUUGUAAAUUAUUGUACUUUACUUUAUUAAAGUAUGAGUGAGUCAUUGUCCUUUUGUAAA